AAUUUGACAGAAGGGCGCUACACGGGUUAAAAUUCACAUUUUUGUCCUUUGACGUUUCAAAAUCUUUUGAUUAAAUUUCCGAACGAAACAUCCUAUCACUCUCUAAUCUAUGGUCCCUACACCCCCCCCUCUUGCCAAACUGUCAAACAAAAGUUUGUUUUGAUUUGGUUGGUGUUGUUUUGUUCGAAUGAAAUUAAUAAGAAUAGUUACUUACAUACAUAUCUCAAAGAAAUAAUCUAUAGCUGAAACAAGUGAUCUUAAAAAUAAUAGUAACAGAAGCCUUGUACAAUAUUGCAACAAUAUCUGAGUUUUCAAUGUGAUACUGUUACGUUAAGUCUAUGCAUAUUUUGCCUGUGUAAAAUAAAGAGAAUCACCAUUCUCUUCUCAUUGCAGCGUAAGAUGUUAAAGUGAUCAAUAAUGAUGUACAACUUGUCCCGGAAAACCAAUAUUUAAUGAAAAUUAAUAAAAUCUUAACAAACCAAAGUAAACUGUUCAUAAUUCCAAAAUAUUUAAUUGAACAUAAAUUGAUUAUUAUCUUUAAAUAAGCCUUCUUAAUAAAUGAGUGUUUUAAAAUU